GCCAGGCACAGUGGCGCAUGCCUGUAAUCCCAGCGGCUGGGGAGGCUGAGGUAGGAGAAUCUCAAAUUCAUAGCCAGCCUCUG
rnacentral:sRNA from 1 species